ACAUAAAAGAUCCCUCCCAAAUUAUGAAAGUCACAAGUACAGAGUUGUUCUAACAAAAGAAUACAAGUCCCAAAAGUAGUUCAAUAGCAAGCUUGUCUCAAAAUACAAAAAACUAGAUAUACAAUAUACAAAGGAGACAUGCUAGUCUAGAACGUCGAGUGCUCACCCUCACCUUCGAUCCACAAAAGUUGUUGCAGGCAUGAACGGUCAUCACUGGUAACUGGUACUAGGGCCUGCAUCACGAAACAGAUGCACAAUGUAGCAUGAGUACCAAAACAAAGGUACUUAGUAGGCAUCAUAGGUUGACUGAGAAAGAAAGGUAAAAGACAAUAUGAAAAUAUAGAAUCUAAACACAAAUAGAGGUCAAAGCAAAAUUUAAGGAAAAGCACACGAGCGUACCAGAAAUAAAAACUAAGUACAACUAAGCUAAACCUAACUGGACCCCCAUAAGCCUAGAAGGUACACUCGUGCGCAAGUUUAAGUAAAACCCGAACGGACCUCCAUAAGACCAACAUGUACACAGAAUAGCUAGCUAAUAAGACUGAAGCAUGGUGAAUCCAUGUCCAAUAAGUGAAAACUUGCCUCUAACCACAAGUACCCAAUGAAAAGGGCCGCCUAGCAAGCUAGUAAACUCCUACGGACUUCAGCUGCCUAGCUAGCAAGAGUUAACCCAAGGGAGUCAAUAAUACCAAACCUCUUACCCUAAGUAACCAAUCAAGGCCACCCAGCCAACCAGUAAAAUCUCAGGGCAUCAACCGCCUAGCUAGCAGAGUAAACCCGGGAGGGGGGGGGGUGUCGCCUCCAAAAGAGGAUCUCAUCAACACCAACAACAAUAACACUAUUGAACGACGUCCACUCGCAAGCAACCCGCAACAACGCUCCAAGCUCGAACCAACUCCAAUCUCAAGUUGUCCAGUGAAGCGCCAAGCUUCAAAUAUCGUAACGGGGGCGUAGAAAGAGAGAGAGAGGGCAAAAGGUCGCCAAAGUAGGGACACCGCAUAAAAUAAGGCUCAUUUUAUCAGAGUUAAGUCUGCUACACUAACAUACAAGGAACUAAGUCAUCCAAAUCGAUGCCGGAGAAGAAACAAGGCCUAGACACUAUAAAUGUCGCGAGUCUAUGGAAAGAACUAGUCUAAGCCUAUACUAAGGCCAAAGAUGCUCAAUUAUACAAUCACAACAACAUACAAGUCAAAACACAAGAUAAGGAUAAACACAUAACCCCAGCUAGCAUGGUUCUAAUCCCGAAAUAAUGUCAAUCAAGCCUAAAACAUGGUUUCUAUGAAAUGAAAUAAGAACAACUAGGUACCCGCCCAAAUUGACUCUAGUCAACAUAUGUUCACACAUUCAAGCUCAAUCUAGGAGACGGAAAGUCAUAGCCUACCUUAAGGAUGACCGCACGUGCUCCAAAUCACAUGUCCCGAGCUUUUCCUUUACGAACAACCUCAGAAUGCAGCCCCGCUAUUAAAAAUAGGAUCACAAUGUUAAUACGAUCGUUUAGACACCAAAACCAUAUAAAACAAAGACGGAUCAAUUUUGGAAUCAAACGGAAAUCAUGGGACCAAUGCCAGAACUUCUGGAUCGACUCAGUCAAAAGGUCUUAAAUAGUACCCCAAACUUGUGUUCCAAAAUGGAACACAAUUCGGACCUCGAAACAACAAGAACAAACAACAUGCGACAAUUUCACCAUUAAAGACAACAACUAAGCUAAGGUACCCUACAAUUGCACGAAUUUACCUCAAAUGAGAGACGCCUAACACUUUUUUAUCACACCACUGCAUAGA
rnacentral:lncRNA from 1 species